GAUGAACGCUAGCUACAGGCUUAGCACAUGCAAGUCGAGGGGAAACGACAUCGAAAGCUUGCUUUUGAUGGGCGUCGACCGGCGCACGGGUGAGUAACGCGUAUCCAACCUGCCCACCACUUGGGGAUAACCUUGCGAAAGUAAGACUAAUACCCAAUGAUAUCUCUAGAAGACAUCUGAAAGGGAUUAAAGAUUUAUCGGUGAUGGAUGGGGAUGCGUCUGAUUAGCUUGUUGGCGGGGUAACGGCCCACCAAGGCGACGAUCAGUAGGGGUUCUAGGAGGAAGGUCCCCCACAUUGGAACUGAGACACGGUCCAAACUCCUACGGGAGGCAGCAGUGAGGAAUAUUGGUCAAUGGGCGAGAGCCUGAACCAGCCAAGUAGCGUGCAGGAUGACGGCCCUAUGGGUUGUAAACUGCUUUUAUAAGGGAAUAAAGUGGGAGUCGUGACUCUUUUUGCAUGUACCUUAUGAAUAAGGACCGGCUAAUUCCGUGCCAGCAGCCGCGGUAA
rnacentral:rRNA from 1 species